GGGAGGCAGCAGUGGGGAAUUUUCCGCAAUGGGCGAAAGCCUGACGGAGCAAUGCCGCGUGAAUGAUGACGGUCUUCGGAUCGUAAAGUUCUGUUCUCUGGGAAGAAGAUCUGACGGUACCAGAGGAGAAAGCCCCGGCUAACUACGUGCCAGCAGCCGCGGUAAUACGUAGGGGGCAAGCGUUAUCCGGAUUUAUUGGGCGUAAAGCGCGCGCAGGCGGUUCAUUAAGUUAGGUGUUCAAGGCAACGGCUCAACCGUUGUACGCACCUAAAACUGGUGGGCUUGAGUGCAGAAGAGGAGAGUGGAAUUCCUGGUGUAGCGGUGGAAUGCGUAGAUAUCAGGAGGAACACCAGUGGCGAAGGCGACUCUCUGGUCUGUAACUGACGCUGAGGCGCGAAAGCGUGGGGAGCAAACAGGAUUAGAUACCCGUGUAGUCCC
rnacentral:rRNA from 1 species